rnacentral:rRNA from 1 species
GACGAACCGUGCGAACGUUGUUCGGAUUCACUGGGCUUAAAGGGCGCGUAGGCGGACCCAAAAGUCCGGGGUGAAAUCUUUCGGCUUAACCGGAAAAUCGCCUUGGAUACUGUGGGUCUCGAGGGAGGUAGGGGCAUGCGGAACUUCCGGUGGAGCGGUGAAGUGCGUUGAUAUCGGAAGGAACUCCGGUGGCGAAAGCGGCGAUGCUGGAUCUCUUCGACGC